GCGGAUUUGUACAGCUCGCCUCUCUCUCUGCGAUGUACAGGGAAAAGCAGAAGAUGAAGCCGCGUGUUGCAGAGAAACGCCGCCGUGGAACCCAAAAAGCCUCCCUCCCGUGCAGGCGAGUUCUCCAGGAGCUGUUCUUCUCGGUCUUCGAGACCUGACGUGCAUGGACAGCACAUCUCGUGGGCCUGGUGCCCUCUGAACUUGACACCCACUCUGAGAGCCAGCCACGGUGGUGGGGGUCCCCUCUCGGAAGACGAAUCCUCCUGGGCAGCCAACUUAGAGUCUUAGAGUCCCGGACAAGAUGCUGGAUUUUCAGCAUUUCCUGUUUCGGAACCAAUCAUUCCUGGAAGGCUGAUGGCCUCUGGUGAGUGACACACACCGAGUGCUGGGGUCCCCGCUGGGCACAGGGUGGAGAGGCAUCUGGGGUGGACCUACGGGAAGGCCCCAA
rnacentral:lncRNA from 1 species